GUUGGGCACUAGGUGUGGGUCUCAACCAACGGGAUCCGUGCCGCAGCUAACGCAUUAAGUGCCCCGCCUGGGGAGUACGGCCGCAAGGCUAAAACUCAAAGGAAUUGACGGGGGCCCGCACAAGCGGCGGAGCAUGUUGCUUAAUUCGAGGCAACGCGAAGAACCUUACCUGGGUUUGACAUGUAGGGAAAAGCCGUAGAGAUACGGUGUCCUUCGGGGUCCUACACAGGUGGUGCAUGGCUGUCGUCAG
rnacentral:rRNA from 1 species